CCAAUAGCGUAUAUUAAAGUUGUUGCAGUUAAAAAGCUCGUAGUUGAAUUUUGGGUCUGGCCGGGCGGUCCGCCCUCUGGGUGAGUACUGUUCCGACGUCGGGCCUAUCCUUCUGGUGAGUCGGCAUGUCCUUUAUUGGGUGUGUCGGGGAACCAGGACCAUUACCUUGAAAAAAUUAGAGUGUUCAAAGCAGGCGUAUGCUAGGAUACAUUAGCAUGGAAUAAUGAAAUAGGACGCGUGGUGCUAUUUUGUUGGUUUCUAGAACCGCCGUAAUGAUUAAUAGGGAUAGUUGGGGGCAUUAGUAUUCAAUUGUCAGAGGUGAAAUUCUUGGAUUUAUUGAAGACUAACUUCUGCGAAAGCAUUUGCCAAGGAUGUUUUCAUUAAUCAAGAACGAAAGUUAGGGGAUCGAAGACGAUCAGAUACCGUCGUAGUCUUAACCAUAAACUAUGCCGACUAGGAAUCGGGCGAUGUUAUUCUCAUGACUCGCCCGGCGCCUUAUG
rnacentral:rRNA from 1 species